rnacentral:tRNA from 1 species
GGGGCUGGGGCUCAGUGGUGGAGCGCUUGCCUGGCAUGUGUGAGGCCCCGAGUUCGAUUCUCAGCACCACUU